UGGAAUACUCUACUUCCAACAAUAGCUUACUUCUGUUGUGAAUGUCUGAGAAGACUGGCAUAAUGAAAAGAGUUUGGGACAAAUGAACCAGAGAGAAAACCUCAUGAAUGCUUCAGAAUGCAUUUCAGCACUUCACUAGACAAAGCUGGGAAAGCAUGGCCCUAUUCCAACAGACUCCCCGGAGGCCUGGUCUCAGGAGUGGAAUUACGGAGUUGUAGGAUGUAGACAGCACAGAGCUCUUACAGAGCUAUCCACCAAGUUUGCAGAAGUUAUCAUCCAGAUACUUCAGCUAUAAUAUAGUAUACACAUUUUUGAUGGUCCUUGCUGUCUACAAAAUCAUACACUAAAAGUAACAGGGUUUAAGGGAAAAACG